rnacentral:rRNA from 1 species
AACGAACGCUGGCGGCAUGCCUAACACAUGCAAGUCGAACGAGACCUUCGGGUCUUGUGGCGCACGGGUGCGUAACGCGUGGGAACCUGCCCUUAGGUUCGGAAUAACUCCCCGAAAGGGGUGCUAAUACCGGAUAAUGUCUUCGGACCAAAGAUUUAUCGCCUUUGGAUGGGCCCGCGUUGGAUUAGCUAGUUGGUAGGGUAAAAGCCUACCAAGGCGACGAUCCAUAGCUGGUCUGAGAGGAUGAUCAGCCACACUUGGACUGAGACACGGCCCAGACUCCUACGGGAGGCAGCAGUGGGGAAUAUUGGACAAUGGGCGAAAGCCUGAUCCAGCAAUGCCGCGUGAGUGAUGAAGGCCUUAGGGUUGUAAAGCUCUUUUACCCGGGAUGAUAAUGACAGUACCGGGAGAAUAAGCUCCGGCUAACUCCGUG